GACGAACGCUGGCGGCGUGCUUAACACAUGCAAGUCGAACGGAAAGGCCCUGCUUUUGUGGGGUGCUCGAGUGGCGAACGGGUGAGUAACACGUGAGUAACCUGCCCUUGACUUUGGGAUACCUUCAGGAAACUGGGGCGAUUACCGGAUAUGAGCUCUUGCUGCAUGGGGGGGGUGGGAAAGUGUCGGCGGUUGGGGAUGGAAUCGCGGCUUAUCAGCGUGUUGGUGGGGUAGUGGCUUACAAAGGCUUUGACGGGUAGCCGGCCUGAGAGGGUGACCGGCCACAUUGGGACUGAGAUACGGCCCAGACUCCUACGGGAGGCAGCAGUGGGGAAUAUUGCACAAUGGGCGGAAGCCUGGUGCAGCAACGCCGCGUGCGGGAUGACGGCCUUCGGGUUGUAACCCGCUUUCGCCUGUGACGAAGAGUGAGUGACGGUAAUGGGUAAAGAAGCACCGGCUAACUACGUG
rnacentral:rRNA from 1 species